GAUGGGAAGAUGUGAACAAGCCUGGAACUUCCCCUACUUAUAGUCCCUAUUUCAUAAAGAAGAUGGGAGGCCAGUGAAAUCUAACCAGCCGAGCUCAAUAUGAUAUGCCAAUCUUGCAAUUUGGAUCUUGUAGCCUCAUCUCUGAUCAGGAUACGUACUUGAAAGAAGCAUGAUAUGUCCCAUUUCCAUCCCUCUACUUCCUGUCGCGUGCCACGUAACAUCUUUUUCAGUGCAUUGAAGAGAAACGACCACCUGCAAGUCUUCAGUCUCCCUGUCUGCAUUGUCAAGAAAGAUGACACCAGAUGAAGCAGAUGCAGUUGUGAUUGGAUUCCGUUCCCCAGAGAAUCUACCCACCAUAGGCUGUCUUUCGAAUUACCACAUAAAUCCAGCAUCAACUCAUCUUCCAGCCAUUUCCACUGCAUGUGAAAGUGAAGGCUUGGUUGCAUGGCGACUGAACAAGCCCCUCAUUGAUUCUUGUGCAGAUGCAAUCUCUCUCAACCGCUUGAAUAUAUUGAAAGGCAUAUCAGCAUAAUAACUGAAGAAGAGGAAAUGAAAUGUGUGUGGGGUUUCAUUCUUUUGCUCCCCUGCAUAUAAGCCAACAACAUCCGCAUCUUUAGGUUGGUCAGAUGGGAAACGACAAGAAUAGCGGUAUUUCUUUUCUUUACUCUCCCACUCUUUCGUGAGUUGCUAGGUGCUGCUAUCCCAUGUGAUGUCAAGGUGGUUCUUGGCUUGCAAUGUAAUUCUUUUACUGACAUCUUCCAAAUAGGUGCAGUAUGGCUGCUUGUCUGCCCAACAAUCUACCACUCUCUAUGGUGGUUUGCUGGAUCUGCACAUAUAUGUUUUAGGUGAUGUAGGAGUGUGCACAUGUUGAUAAUGGCCCUUGAGUACAUAUGGUCAGCAACUCACAUCUUGGAGUGAUCUCAAUGGCAAGAUGUUCUGCAGAACAGAAAGAUUCCAAAGUAUUAUAUAGUUGGGGUUCCUUCAAGAAACACAAAGAAGUUGUGUAUAUGGUCAAGCUGUGGCCA